rnacentral:rRNA from 1 species
UACAGAGGUCUCAAGCGUUGUUCGGAUUCAUUGGGCGUAAAGGGUGCGUAGGUGGCGCGAUAAGUCGGGUGUGAAAUCUCGGAGCUUAACUCCGAAAUUGCAUUCGAUACUGCCGUGCUCGAGGACUGGAGAGGAGACUGGAAUUCAUGGUGUAGCAGUGAAAUGCGUAGAGAUCAUGAGGAAGACCAGUGGCGAAGGCGAAUCUCUGGACAGUUACUGACACUGAGGCACGAAGGCCAGGGGAGCAAACGGG